AUGUUCAGCAGCACAUGUACCAAAACUGAAACGUGGAGAUUAAUUAGCAUGACCCUAGUGCAAGAAUGACCAGCAAAUUUGUGAGGCAUUUGGUAUUUUU
rnacentral:snRNA from 1 species